rnacentral:siRNA from 1 species
ACUGAGAGUUACUUAUGUUGC